rnacentral:rRNA from 2 species
UACGUAGGUGGCAAGCGUUGUCCGGAAUUAUUGGGCGUAAAGCGCGCGCAGGCGGUCUUUUAAGUCUGAUGUGAAAGCCCACGGCUCAACCGUGGAGGGUCAUUGGAAACUGGGAGACUUGAGUGCAGAAGAGAAGAGUGGAAUUCCACGUGUAGCGGUGAAAUGCGUAGAGAUGUGGAGGAACACCAGUGGCGAAGGCGACUCUUUGGUCUGUAACUGACGCUGAGGCGCGAAAGCGUGGGGAGCAAACAGG